rnacentral:lncRNA from 1 species
AAAUCAGCAGCCAGAAACGUGUUCAGGGUUGAGUGGGCACUGGUGAAUCAUCACAAAUGCUUCAGCUACUGGGCCACUAACAGUCUCCUUACCGAAGAUAUUUCCCUCUGCGUUUGUCUUUAAAAAUAUUAUGGGUGCACAAAAGUAUGCAGUGGCAACAGGACCAACACGGAGCAAACUCCAGUGCAGCUUUUGAAAAUUCUAUUUGGUAUUUAUUUGGUUUUCAUACUUUUCUUUCUAUUUAUCCUUAUGCCCUGGGAAGUAAAAGAACUGGGUUUGGGAAACAUUUUUGGAUUUGCUGAACAGUGGACUCCGUUGUUUCAUGCACACCUUUGUACCAGGGUACAUCUUAUUGUUUAAAAAGAUGUUUUUCAAGAGCAUGAAGAGAUCUGAUCAGAACACGCUGGGGUGUCAAGGAAUGGUUCAUGGAUCCUCGGGUCCUCCACAGUGACCAGUGAUCAAGUACACUUGAUCUCCAACAUUAACCUUCGCCAGCUCUCUUGCAGUGGUCACGAGGAAUGUGGGCUGGUCAGAGCAGCCUCGCUCUGCCCUGGCCUUGGCCCUGUCAAUGACCAUCUCUCCAGAACACCCUUCCUCUCUUUUCUACCUGGCAACCACUUACUUGUAUUUCCUCUCCUUCCCUGACCCCACCGCUGGCAGCAAUGCCCCUCUUCUCUGUCAUCCACCAGCCCCCAAGGGUGUUAAAGCCGCACAGCUCUCUGUGUCAUCUUGGUCCAUCUUGUCUUCAGUGCUGCCCAGAGAACACUCCCCAUCUAAGCCACCACUGAAAUUAACAGGCGACUGUCCUGCGCAUCUCAGGAUGCCUGGCCAACUGACGCUCAGAGGACAUGACAUGUAUUGA